CCCUGAUGAACGGCCACAGUUUUCAGGUAUCAGACAACGCGGCUGAACGCACCGCAGCCGGGAACAGUCCCUAAAACACCAGUUUCACCUUCCCAGGAGGACUGUACAAGACAGUGGUAACUAAAGGUUUGUGAAACUUGCUUUCCCACCUUCACUGGAAGCAUCUCCUGCCUCUGUACCAGACUGGCUACUGCUAACAAGCGUGACUUUUACUAGCCGUUGUGUGACUUGUUCGCUUGCCUCAAGCUU